GAUGAAGAACGUAGCGAAAUGCGAUAAGUAAUGUGAAUUGCAGAAUUCAGUGAAUCAUCGAAUCUUUGAACGCACAUUGCGCCCGCCAGUAUUCUGGCGGGCAUGCCUGUUCGAGCGUCAUUUCAACCCUCAGGACCCUUUGGACCUGGUGUUGGGGCUCGGCCGCUACCCCGCGGCCGUCCCCGAAAGAUAGUGGCGGUCUCGCUGUAGCGUCCUCUGCGUAGUAAUUACACCUCGCACUGGAACGCGGCGCGGCCACGCCGUUAAACACCCCACUUCUCAAGGUUGACCUCGGAUCAGGUAGGAAUACCCGCUGAACUUAAGCAUAUCAUAAGCGGAGGA
rnacentral:misc_RNA from 1 species